AAAGUCUAAAAUGACUCUCAGCAACGGAUAUCUCGACUCUCGCAUCGAUGAAGAACGUAGCGAAAUGCGAUACUUGGUGUGAAUUGCAAAAUCCCGUGAACCAUCGAGUCUUUGAACGCAAGUUUCGCCCCAAGCCUUCUGGCCGAGGGCACGUUUGCCUGGGUGUCACAAAUCGUCGUCCCCCCAUCCUCUCGAGGAUAUGGGACGGAAGCUGGUCUCCCGUGUGUUACCGCACGCGGUUGGCCAAAAUCCGAGCUAAGGAUGCCAGGAGCGUUUUGACAUGCGGUGGUGAAUUCAUUUCUCGUCAAAUCGUCGGUCAUUUCGGUCCAAUAGCUCUUGAUGACCCAAAGUCCUCAACGCGACCCCAGGUCAGGCGGGAUCACCCGCUGAGCUUAAGCAUAUCAAUAAGCAGAGGAAAAGAAACUAACAAGGAUUCCCUCAGUAACGGCGAGCGAACCGGAAGAGCCCAGCUUGAAAAUCGGACGUCUUCGGCGUUCGAAUUGUAGUCAGGAGAAGCGUCCUCAGCAACGGACCGGGCCCAAGUUCCUUGGAAAGGGGCGCCAGGGAGGGUGAGAGCCCCGUCAUGCCCAGACCUUGUCGCACCACGAGGCGCUGUCUACGAGUGGGGUUGUUUGAGAAUGCAGCCCCAAUCGGGCGGUAAAUUCCGUCCAAGGCUAAAUAUGGAUGAGAGACCGAUAGCGAACAAGUACCGUGAGGUAAAGAUGAAAAGGACUUUAAAAAGAGAGUCAAAGAGUGCUUGAAAUUGUUGAGAGGGAAGCGGAUGGGGGCCGGUGAUGCGUCCCGGUCGGAUGUGGAACGGAGCAAUCCGGUCCGCCGAUCGAUUAGAGGCGUGGACCGACAUGGAUUAAGGUGGUGACCUAAGCCCAGGCUUUCGUUACGCCCGCGGAGACAUCGCUGCCUUAAUCGUGGUCUGCAGCACGCGCCUCAUGGCGUGCCACAGCAUCUGCGUGCUUAGGGAGUCGGCCUGUAGGCUCCCCAUUCGACCCGUCUUGAAACACAGACCCAGGAGUCUGACAUGUGUGCGAAUCAACGGGUGAGUAAACCCAUAAGGCGCAAGGAAGCUGAUUGGCUGGAUCCCUCACGGGUGCACAACCGAUUGACCUUGAUCUUCUGAGAACAGUUCGAGUGUGAGCAUGCCUGUCGGGAGCCGGAAGAUGGUGAACUAUGCCUGAGCGGGGCGAAGCAAGAGGAAACUCUGGUGGAGGCCCACAGCGAUACUGAUGUGAAAAUCGUUCAUCUGACUUGGGUAUAGGGGCGAAACACUAAUCAAACCAUCUAGUAGCUGGUUCCCUCCGAAGUUUCCCUCAGGAUAGCUGGAGCUCAUAUUGGGUAAAGCCACGAUAAGAGGCAUCGAGGGGACGCAAUGUCCUCGACCUAUUAAUCAAACUUUAAUUAGGUAGACGGGGUGGCUGCUUUUUGUCGAGCCAUCCCACGGAAUCGAGCUCCAAGUGGGCCAUUUUGGUAAAAGAACUGGCGAUGCGGGAUGAACCAGAGCCGGGUUACGGUGCCCAACUGGCGCUAACCUAGAACCCACAAAGGGUGUUGGUCGAUUAAGACAGCGGGGCGGUGGUCAUGGAAGUCAAAAUACGCUUAAGGAGUGUGCGACCUAUACCCGCCAUGGGGCAAAGAGCCAGGCCUUGAUGAGUAAGAGGAGGCGUGUCGCUGAAAAACCUAGGGCAUGAGCCGCGAGCAGCCGCCGGUGCAGAUCAUGGUGGUAGUAGCAAAUAUUCAAAUGAGAACUUUGAAGGCGAAGAGGGGAAAGGUUCCAUGUGAAUGGCUCUUGCACAUGGGUUAGUCAAUCUUAAGUCGGGAAACUCGUCGAUAGCGCUUAUCGCCGAACUUCGAAAGGGGAUCGGUUAAAAUUCCAGAAUCGGGGCGUGGCGGUUGGCGAUAACGUUAGGAGUCCGGAGAUGUCGGGUGGGAAUUCCUGAAAGAGUUAUCUUUUCUGUUUAACAGCCUGCCCACCCCUGAAACGGCUCAGCCGGAGGUAGGGUCCAACAAUUUUGGAAGAGCACCGCGACGUCGCGUGGUGUCCGGUGCAUUUCGGCGGACCUGGAAAAUCCGGAGGACCGAAAGUGCCGCCACGCGCCGGUCAUUACUCAUAACCGCAUCAGGUCUCAAAAAGGUGAACAGCCCUGGUCGAUGGAACAAUGUAAGGCAAGGGAAGUCGGCAAAAUAGAUCCGUAACUUUGGGAAAAGGAUUGGCUAUGAGAGCUGGGCUCAGGGGUCCCAAUUCCGAACCCGUCGACUGUUGGCGGGCUGCUUGAGCCGCUAACGUGCCGAGAACGGACCGCCUCGUGUCGGUUGGGGGGACGGACUAGGAACGGCUCUUACGGGAGCUUUCUUCGGGCGUCGAACAGCCAACUCAUAACUGGUACGGACACGGGGAAUCCGACUAUUUAAUUGAAACAAAGCAUUGCGAUGGUCCCUGCGGAUGCUAUCGCAAUGUGAUUUCAGCCCAGUGCUCUGAAUGUCAAAG
rnacentral:rRNA from 1 species